rnacentral:lncRNA from 1 species
CCCCGCGCCUUUGUUUCCGUCUCCUUCUCCUUUCCCUCCUCUUUUGUGUCGGGCCAGACUCAGCCCCAGAAACCAGCCACCCUGCCGCGUCCGACUGCCAGGGAUCCCUCACGCCGCGAGGUGGAGUCUCGCUCUGUCGCCCAGGCUGGAGUACAGUGGUGCGAUCUUGGCUCCCUGCAACUUCUGCCUCCCAGGUUCAAGCGAUUUUCCUGCCUCAGCUUCCUGAGUAGCUGGGACUACAGGAAGAGACACUAGAGAGACACUCAGCUGCAGUGAGAAUACACAGGCAUCUUCAAGUACCAGAGAUGUCUCCAAGAGCACCAGCAACCCCAGCUAUCUGGAUCUGAAGUGGAUAUGCUCAGAGACAUCCUGGCCCACCCCAAAGAAGAUGCUGCUGCACUCAGAAGACGCCAGAGCUAGCCACCACCCACACUGCAAGUCUGGAAGCUCUGCAAGGACCCAGCAAGGCAGCCUGCUCAGCGAAGGCUUUGUCUCCUGUGGCAGGAAGAGCAACAUUAAGAACAAGAACCCCGGGCUGGACUACCCCUGAGAUUUAAUGACCAGAGCUGAGACCCCCAAGACCACAAUGACUAUGGAGGGCUGUCAUUACCCUGCCUGACCCUCUAAUGCCUCUCAGUUCAAGGAGGCCACUGAGUGAAACUGAAGGCUGGUUUUCCUUGGAAGCCAGCGGCCCAUCCACCUGCUCCACUUCCCUGCCUCUUGCAGCCUCCGCUCAAACACUGUCGUGGCUUGGCAGCACUACAAGGCAGAGUGAAAACAGAUACUUCUACCCACAUUCCUAUCUCCUCUCAUUUACGCAGAUUAAAUGCUUUCUUUCCUUGUUUUACACUGCUAGGAUUUUCAUCACCCUGUUUUUUCUUUCUCUACAUCAGCUACAAGAAAAAAAAAAGGAGUUACUGAGCAACUAAGAAGUCACAACUGUUUUCAGUUUUAUUAAUGAGUUGUUAUACUUAUUUUAUAGAUAGAGAAUUACCAUUAUAACAUUGCUCCAUUGCCCACUCAUCCAUUCACGCAUCUGUCCAUCCGUCCAUCCACCCAUUUGUCCACUCCCCAAAUGGUCAUCAAUUGUCUACUGUGAGCCAAGCAAAGUGCUCCUUACUUUGGACUCUGAAUCCAGUGCUCUUUCUACUUCACCAUAGACACAUGCCCCUUGAGUAUAAGGGAGCUUGAUUCAUUCAACAAAUAUCUGUUGUCCAUCUCCAAUGUACUGGCAUAUUCUAAAUGCAUCCAACAAAAACCAAAAUGAAAAAAAAGAAAAACCCAUUCCUUCAAGGGGAUUGCAUUCGGACUGGGGGAGACAGAUAAAAUAAAAAUAAUGAAGUCAAA